rnacentral:rRNA from 1 species
CAAUAGCGUAUAUUAAAGUUGUUGCAGUUAAAAAGCUCGUAGUUGGAUUUGUGGCGUACGGUGUGUUCCGGGCACUUGUUGUCUGAGUAACCUGCUGUUGCCAUCCUUGGGUGGAACCUGUGUGGCAUUAGGUUGUCGUGCAGGGGAUGCCCAUCAUUUACUGUGAAAAAAUUAGAGUGUUCAAAGCAGGCUUAUGCCGUUGAAUAUAUUAGCAUGGAAUAAUGAGAUAGGACUUUUUUGCUAUUUUGUUGGUUUGCGCAAGAAGGUAAUGAUUAAUAGGGACAGUUGGGGGUAUUCGUAUACCAUUGUCAGAGGUGAAAUUCUUGGAUUUUUGGAAGACGAACUACUGCGAAAGCAUUUACCAAGGAUGUUUUCAUUAA